rnacentral:tRNA from 1 species
UAGGUCAGUGGCUCAAUUGGUAGAGCAGCGGUCUCCAAAACCGCAGGUUGUGGGUUCGAGUCCCUCCUGGCCUGCC